UUUAAGAUAUUGGGAAAAGAAAAUUCAAACAAGAAUACAUAUUUCCUUCUCCCGGUAAAAGCUUGGCGGCAACAUAUCUCUAUCAUGUCUAGACGGUUAUCAAAAAUCAGAAAUCAAAAAAGCCCUCAUUCUUAAACUCAUUAUGCCUCAAUCAGAAUUUCAGCGGUUCACGUUGAAAGUCGUUGCCAAUCUGAAGCCACCCGAAAGCCAUCAAUUUUAUCGUGUAUUUAAAGGUACCGGUGAGCCAUCAAUUCCAGCGUAAAUUCGUAGGCUCUGGUGAGGUUAGUCUUUGACAUACUUUUAUUAUUCUUAUUCCUACAAUUUGGAUUGAACAUCUGGUAUUUCUAAUUUGUUAUUUUCAGUACCGUGGUUUUUUUGGGAGUUAUGAACGUCGAAGGAAUGUCGUCGACAUUUUUAUAGCUAGCUUGUCUUCUUAGUUUGGAUAGAUGUGUUUUUCAUUCCAGAAUAUACGUUAUAUUUGAUUGCUUGGGAUGUUUGCUAAUCUCCUAAUUCUUGUGAGAAAAGUGAAUAGGGCAGGCUUAGCUACACAUUUAAAUUCAGUGAAUUCUUGAUCUGAAGAAUAAGGUUGUGUAUGGAGUUUCAUUGUUGAUAUGAUGUUUUUCAUAGAACUUUGUGCUAAGUGUGUAUUCUAUCAAUAUAUAAAAUUCAGGUUUGUUUUGUAGUAUGUGCUAAGUGUGUAUUCUAUCAAUAUAUUAUCCAUUUGGUUGUGCUCUUCUUUCUGGCAUAGAGUCAAGCCCUUCCAAGUUUAUUGUUUAAACAUAUUAUCCCUUUGGUUGUGCUCUUCUUUAUGGCAUUGAGUCAAGCCCUUUCAAUUUUAUUGUUUAAACAUAUCGAGUCAAGCCCUACUAAUGGGGCUUAAUAAAGUUUAAUCAAUGUUAAAGCCCGAGAAUUGCAAGGAAAAUCAUUCAAGCAUGGAAGUCAGAAUGAGAAACUUUGCUUAAACAGAUUACUUGCACUUGCAAGUAUGACUACUAAAAAUCGAAAGCUUAAACAGACUACUUUUAGCUUGUCAGAUGAGCAAGUGCACCAGCCACAUAGUAAGAUUAUGCAUCACCACAAUAUAUGUUAUAUGUUAUGUUAUUUCUCUUAUUAAAUAAGUAUAUAUGGUUUUAUCUUUUAUCUACGACAACUAGAACUCAAGUGGGUAGACGAGUAUCCAAUGGGGCUGUACAAGAAGUUCUCAAAGCUCUAAUCUGCCAAGAAUGAUUUCAUCACCAAACCAACAUCUUCGGGUACUUAUCCUUUUUCAUUUACCUAUACUUUAGUAUAUACCUCUAUUGUAAUAUGUGAUAUGUUACUUUACUAUGCGAUGUGUGUUUAAAUGAAUUAGUAAUAUUUCUUUUCGAAAUAUUAGACUAUUCGUACAAUUAAUCUUGUCCAGUUUAGUGUGGGGAGUGGGAAUAGCAAUUUUGAGUGGUUGAUCAAAAUGGUGACGAUGGUUGAAUUCAUGUUUUUGACUGCUCCGGUUAAAUUUCUCUUACCUUACCUCUGGUUUUGAUUCUACAUAUUCUACCUAAUUAAGUUGCUCAAAUUAAUCUACCAAGAAUGAUUUCACCAAACCAACAUCUUCAGAUUGGAGUUCAUGUUGAUCUUAAAAGUGUAUCUCAACAAGGAAAAAUUGUGGCUAAAGGAUGUGUACAUAGCACUAGCCCAAUGCAAAAGUUGGGAGACAAGUAUUGGGAGAGAAUCGGUGUCAAGUGCAAGUUAAAGUAGUAGUUGAAUCUGAAGAGCGAUUAAUUCGACCUUAUGGUUAUUGUCAAACACUUGGAGACGCACUUGGUGAAAUGGUUGCAUGGCCAUGCGAUUUGGUGACACCCAUUGAAUGACAAUGAAAUGUCCAGUUCUUCCAUUGAAGAAGUUUCUACAAGAAAAGCUACAUGUUUCAAGGAAA